rnacentral:lncRNA from 1 species
AAAUCAAGCUUAAAGACUCGUUCAAAUUAAGUUGUAAGGCAUCUAUCUCAACUAUCAGCAAUUUCUUCAGUAUAGCUCUCUGGCUAAUCCAUGUUAUUUGUCAGACGACUCUAUUGAACAUCAAACCUGUAAGUCCUUCAACAUCUGGUCCCAAAUAAGUCUAUUCUUGUACCUUACUGAAAUAUUUGUGAUUCUAACUACUAGUCUAAUUUUGUUUCUUGAUACGGUGGACCGACUAGUCUAAACUCAGUCCCUACAGAAGAAAAACAAGUUCCUGCUAGCUGGAACUUACAGUCAUAUUGAAGGUUUGGUUUGAACAAUAGCUAUCUCCAGUUAUUCAGCUUCAGCAUAUAUUUUGAUCAUCUUCU